GAGUUUGAUCUUGGCUCAGAGCGAACGCUGGCGGCAGGCCUAACACAUGCAAGUCGAGCGGCCGUAGCAAUACGGCAGCGGCAGACGGGAGAGUAACACGUGGGAACGCGCCCUUCGGUCCGGGAUAACCCAGGGAAACUUGGGCUAAUACCGGAUACGCCCUUACGGGGAAAGAUUUAUUGCCGAAGGAACGGCCCGCGUCCGAUUAGCUAGUUGGUGAGGUAACGGCUCACCAAGGCGACGAUCGGUAGCUGGUCUGAGAGGAUGACCAGCCUCACUGGGACUGAGACACGGCCCAGACUCCUACGGGAGGCAGCAGUGGGGAAUAUUGGACAAUGGGCGCAAGCCUGAUCCAGCCAUGCCGCGUGGGUGAUGAAGGCCCUAGGGUUGUAAAGCCCUUUCAGCGGGAAGAUAAUGACGGUACCCGCAGAAGAAGCCCCGGCUAACUUCGUGCCAGCCGCCGCAGUAAU
rnacentral:rRNA from 1 species